rnacentral:rRNA from 1 species
GACGAACGCUGGCGGCGUGCUUAAUACAUGCAAGUCAACUGAACUUGAGAUAGCAAUAUUUUAAGGGAGGUGGCGCACGGGUGAGUAACACGUAGGUAAUCUGCCUUUAGGUCUGACACAACCCCGAGAAAUCGGGGCUAAUAUCAGAUGAUGCAGCGGCUCGACAUCGAGACAGUUGUUAAACCUUCGGGGCCUAGAGAUGAGCCUGCGUCUGAUUAGGUAGUUGGCGGAGUAAAAGCCCACCAAGCCUGCGAUCAGUAGCUGGUCUGAGAGGAUGAUCAGCCACAUUGGGACUGAGACACGGCCCAGACUCCUACGGGAGGCAGCAGUGGGGAAUAUUGCGCAAUGGGCGAAAGCCUGACGCAGCGACGCCGCGUGAGGGAUGAAGGC